rnacentral:tRNA from 1 species
GGGCCCAUCGCUCAAUUGGCUAUAGCGCCUGCCCUGCACGCAGGAGGUUGAGGAAUCGUGCUCCUCUGGGUACA